UAAAUACUCCAUCCGCUCCGAAUUACUUAUCACAGAAAUGGAUAAAAAUGGAUGUAUUUAGAACUAAAAUACAUCUAGAUACAUCCAUUUCUACGAUAUGUAAUUUGGACGGAGGGAGUAUAUU
rfam:Triticum aestivum genome assembly, contig: Triticum_aestivum_CS42_TGACv1_scaffold_433750_5DL